CUCAGUUCCAAUUGCUUUCUCAAGAAUUGGUUCAUCUUCGUCGAUCAUGUGGUAUGUCUUGGUUAAGACGGAAUUUUUAAAGAAGGGAUUAGUCUCAAAAUAGAACUCAAGCUUGAAUCCUUUGGGAUUGUCUAUUCUACACCACUUGAUAUCUUUCAAGUAUUUGAGAGCUCCUUCAUCACGCUCGGUAAUCUCCUCAGCUAAUACUUCGUUGUUCUUCAUUGCAGUCAGCCAAAAAUCGGGAACACCUUUCUCUGCUGCGUCUUUGUCUUCUGAUUCUUUUGGAACUCCUUCUGCUUCAACAACACCAUUUACAAUAUCGAAUCGCUGAGAGUAUAGUGGCUGAUACAACUUCUGAUAUUUAGCCUCGAGCGCCAACCUUUCCUCAAAAAAUUUUGCCUCUAACUCAUCAUGUUGGCUCUGGAUCUCUCUUAGCACCUCGACGCGCUUACGAACAACCGGCGACAAAUUCUCGAGGACAUCGGAAUGCUGCCCAGCGAGACUCUGUAUCUUAUUCUUAAGAGCGUUGACGAGGCCUGCUCGAUCCUCCUCAUUGAGAGCAGAACCGAGAUCCGAGACAUUGAAGUUGUCCUUGUUGUUGCUCAUUGAGAAUAUUGGGAAUUACUGAUGGGGAAGAGGAAGAGAAGUUGAAACCUAAAACCCUAGAUUGAAUACGAGCGAGGAAAAAGGAGUGAAAAGGGCCGCCUCAGCGUGGCCGACCUUUAAA
rnacentral:misc_RNA from 1 species